CAGGGCACAUUCUUCUUCCAGACCCGAAUGGUGUGAACUCGAAGUCCUGCCCCCUUACAUCCAAAUUGGCUUUCUCUUUCAGGAACCUCUCAGGCUGAAAUUCCAAUGGGUUAGCCCAAAUGUUAGGGUCACGAUGCAACUUCCAGAGGUUAACCACAAGGCGCGUGCCUGCUGGGAUGUGGAAGUCAGCUACAGUGCAAUCCUCCAUGGCUUCCCUUGGUCCUGAGAGUGGUGCUGGCGGGUGUAGUCUGAAUGUUUCCUUGACAAUGGCUUGCAAAUAUACAAGGUUCUUUAUGUCUGUCUCCGCCACUUGGCGGUGCUUUCCGACGUGGGUGUCAAGCUCAUCUUGAGCUUUUUUAAGCAUAUUUCUAUUGUUUAGUAGCAAAGCUAGUGGCCAUAUCAGAGCUAUCGUUAUUGUGUCACUGCCUCCCAAUAGAAGGCUCUGCCAUAGAGAUUACUUGAUACUGUGAGAUGAUGGAGUAAAAAAGUGAUUUAUAUACACAUAUACGAAAUUUAUUCCUUUAAUUUAUUAGGAUUUAUAUGACCCUUAGAGAUUACUAUGUCUGCUAUAUAGUACACUUUCUUUUUUUGACAAAUACUAUAAUGCAAAAUGCAAAAAUCGAACAUAAGCACUGGAUGUUUUGCCUAGCUGUAUGCAGUAUUGCAGAAAAUGAAAGACAGAGCAAGGGCCUCGAGUUAGAGACUUUCCUGAAAACUUAAAUCAAAUACAGAUCAUCAUUUACCCAAACUUGUGACAACAUGUGAAAAAAGCAAGUUUUGCCCCAGUUGCUUGAGUAGUAGGUUUCAGCUGCAACAGAAAAGUAUGAAACUUUUAAUUGCAGAAAUUUGCUAGAUACUUACCAAGCAACUAGCCUUAACGGUUGUGUCAGCUUCAUCAACAGAAACGUUACUAUCAUUCAUGAUAGAAAGCAUGACAUCGAUGAAAUCUUUCUCCUCCUCGCUGAUGCUUCUGUUGAGCCUGAUUCUUCGAUGCUCGUCCACCCAGCUCCCAAGCACGCAAUCUAACUCCCUUGCCGUUCUUUUCAUUUUUCCUAUAUAUCCCUUCACCAAAUCCAGCCAACUAAACAAUGGAACAGCAUCUGAAGCAAAAUUUAACCCCACUAGAUACAAGAAAUGUCGUAAAGCCUCUUGACACCUCUUUGCCUCUUGAUUGCCUUUUGCAUCGGCACUAAAAUAUCGCUUCCCAGAAAUCAUUCUAACUAUUAUGUUCAUUGCCAUGUCCGCUAAUCUUUGCUUCAUUUCCACGACAACUUGCCCUCCAUUCCUUGACGAUUUCUCAUAAAACUCUUUCAUGAGCAAACUGGUUUCUGUGUACCUGACAUGCUUGAGCAACUCUAGCCUAUGAUUGGAGAGGAGUUCAACCAUGACCAACUUCCUGAUAUCACGCCAAUAUCGCCCAUACGGUGCAAAGCCGAACGUGGUUUGGUUAUAGCCCAUGAUCUUUAAUGCUAAGGAUUUUGGACGUGUGGAAAAGACCCUAUCAUUUGCAGUGAAACAUUCUUUCACAACUUCCCAAUCGCUCACCACAAUUGUUGGAUGAAUUCCAAGGCGGAUAGAGAAGAUUGACCCGUACUCAUCUGCCAUGCCCCCUAGUGUUUUAUGCAGCAGCUGGUUUCUUCCUCCAAGAAGAUGUAGGUGGCCAAUUACAGGCCAUGACCCUGCUACCUCUGGAGGCAUCUUGCCAUUUUUCUUGUUUCCCUUGGCAAAUAUUGUGGCCAAGACAACAGAAGUUAUUGCAAGAAGAAGGGCAAACAAGGAGAUUCCUCGUAGCUCAGUCAAGGUUUUCAUGGUUUAGUUCGUAAUGAAGAUUGGUGAUUUGUCAACAUUUUUUCCAGAUGAUACUGAAAGAAACUUCUGAAUUUAGACAAAUGAAAUAUUUUUUAUGGCUCACAUCUUAUUUUUGUUCACAUAUUGACAGCUCAUUUAUGCGAAGUGAAUCAGUCUAGCUGAUGGUUACUGAUGGGGGGAUUUUCCAGUCUGGUUUGGCACGUCUAUCUUAUUCAACUAGUCUUCUCUAUAAACAAAAGAAAAGAAGAGAAAAUUACCAUCACCAAGUUUGGCAAAAAACGACAAUAUAUACAGUAAAUGAUCUCUCCAUGCAAAUGAUUUUCUUGAUCAUUAUACUAAUUAUUCACGAAAAAACGACAGGAUACCAAACAAUCAGACUUUUUUCAGCACAAGCUCCGUUUUUUCCAGAAUAAGACAGGCAUGAUCCACCUGUGAGACUUUUGUGUUAAAUUGUGGCCCCUGACAGCACAGUGUUUUUAAAAUAUAUGUAACUUGACUAUAGUAAAUUAAAAACCACGAAAUAAAAACUUGACUAUAAGAUCAGUUCAACAGUUAUUGCAAUACAUUGGCAAUAAAAAACACUUCCUGCCUUUAUUCUACCUUUGUUUUACAUAUUUUUAUAAAGGAUUGCACAAUGAUCUCCUUGUGCUUGCUGCUUAGAAUUCGUAAGCGAUGGAAGGUAACCUUGGCCUGAGGACAACCUCCAAUGGUGUUGCUUUGGGGACUGUCAAUCCAGGGCUUUCAGUCAUAUCGACUGGAGUAUCCGAGACUGUCCUCAAUUCAAACCCGUGAAGAAGCCGAGCAAGUGUCAGGUGCACAACCUGGACAACGAAUGACACCGCAGGGCACAUUCUUCUUCCAGACCCGAAUGGUGUGAACUCGAAGUCCUGCCCCCUUACAUCCAAAUUGGCUUUCUCUUUCAGGAACCUCUCAGGCUGAAAUUCCAAUGGGUUAGCCCAAAUGUUACGGGUCCCGAUGCAACUUCCAGAGGUUAACCACAAGGCGCGUGCCUGCUGGGAUGUGGAAGCCAGCUACAGUGCAAUCCUCCAUGGCUUCCCUUGGUCCUGAGAGUGGUCCUGGCGGGUGUAGCCUGAAUGUUUCCUUGACAAUGGCUUGCAAAUAUACAAGGUUCUUUAUGUCUGUCUCGGCCACUUGGCGGUGCUUUCCGACGUGGGUGUCAAGCUCAUCUUGAGCUUUUUGAAGCAUAUUUCUGUUGUUUAGUAGCAAAGCUAGUGCCCAUAUCAGAGCUAUCGGUGUUGUGUCACUGCCUCCCGCUAGAAGGCUCUGCCAUAGAGAUUACUUGAUACUGUGAGAUGAUGGAGUAAAAAAGUGAUUUAUAUAAACAUAUACGAAAUUUAUUCCUUUAAUUUAUUAGGAUUUAUAUAACCCUUAGAGAUUACUAUGUCUGCUAUAGUACACUUUCUUUUUUUGACAAAUACUAAAUGCAAAAUGCAAAAAUCGAACAUAAACUCUGGAUGUUUUGCCUAGCUGUAUGCCGUAUUGCAGAAAAUGAAAGACAGAGCAAGGGCCUCGAGUUAGAGACUUUCCGGAAAACUUAAAUCAAAUACAGAUCAUCAUUUACCCAAACUCCUUUCAGACAUGUGAAAAAAGCAAGUUUUGCCCAGUUGCUUGAGUAG
rnacentral:lncRNA from 1 species